GAUGAACGCUGGCGGCGUGCCUAAUACAUGCAAGUCGAGCGAACAGACGAGGAGCUUGCUCCUCUGACGUUAGCGGCGGACGGGUGAGUAACACGUGGAUAACCUACCUAUAAGACUGGGAUAACUUCGGGAAACCGGAGCUAAUACCGGAUAAUAUAUUGAACCGCAUGGUUCAAUAGUGAAAGACGGUUUUGCUGUCACUUAUAGAUGGAUCCGCGCCGCAUUAGCUAGUUGGUAAGGUAACGGCUUACCAAGGCGACGAUGCGUAGCCGACCUGAGUGGGUGAUCGGCCACACUGGAACUGAGACACGGUCCAGACUCCUACGGGAGGCAGCAGUGGGGAAUCUUCCGCAAUGGGCGAAAGCCUGACGGAGCAACGCCGCGUGAGUGAUGAAGGUCUUCGGAUCGUAAAACUCUGUUAUCAGGGAAGAACAAAUGUGUAAGUAACUAUGCACGUCUUGACGGUACCUAAUCAGAAAGCCACGGCUAACUACGUG
rnacentral:rRNA from 1 species